rnacentral:lncRNA from 1 species
AGAAUAAGCCAGCAAACGGGUCUGUCCAUGGCCGCUGGAGAGGUAUCUUCAGCCGAUCGAAAAUUGACCAGAGAAUCCACGCAAGAACAAGAGCGCAGCGCUCGGGGAAUCAGGCGGAUUUUCCCGUGGACACUUCCCGAUGUCUGUCACUGAGAGCGGAUCCUCCACGCAGACACGGAGAAGUCCCUCCUUCACUGGCAGAUUGGCUCUGAUUUCCACGUACUCGCCGGAGAGGCGCCUCGUUCAGAGCUGAAUUCACAGAGAGGCUGCUUUCCAAGAACCCGCUGCGAGCUUCAUUCACUGGAGCGUCAGAUGUGGCCAGAGAGGAGCUCGCAUACACUGCUGUGACUGCAGGUCAUCUCAUGCACUCUCUCCACUCUUCUUCCACACUGAGCUCGAUCUGAUCCCUGACAACUUGCAGCGCAAAGUUCCUGCAGUUUUCAAAUUGCAGAGCCUCUUACCUUUUCCUGUCCCUCGAGUGGUGUGCCUACGGAUCGGGGAGACUGCCUAAACUCUGACACAGGCACGGGGGUUCUCCCUCCAGCUGGGGCGAAAUAAAAAACGGUGAAGAACUGCAACAGAGAGAACAUCAUGUACCCUCCUACAGCCGGGGAACACACGAAGGGUGGUGGAGACAUUCACUCUCUUCCUUUGUGCUGUUGCAUGCAUGCUGCAAUGUGCAUGAGCCACAG